GGGCGGUUAGCUCAGCUGGAAGAGCACCUCGUUUACACCGAGGGGGUCGGCGGUUCGAACCCGUCACCGCCCACCA
rnacentral:tRNA from 1 species